rnacentral:rRNA from 1 species
GGGAGCAAACAGGAUUAGAUACCCUGGUAGUCCACGCCGUAAACGAUGUCGACUUGGAGGUUGUGCCCUUGAGGCGUGGCUUCCGGAGCUAACGCGUUAAGUCGACCGCCUGGGGAGUACGGCCGCAAGGUUAAAACUCAAAUGAAUUGACGGGGGCCCGCACAAGCGGUGGAGCAUGUGGUUUAAUUCGAUGCAACGCGAAGAACCUUACCUGGUCUUGACAUCCACGGAACUUUUCAGAGAUGAGAAUGUGCCUUCGGGAACCGUGAGACAGGUGCUGCAUGGCUGUCGUCAGCUCGUGUUGUGAAAUGUUGGGUUAAGUCCCGCAACGAGCGCAACCCUUAUCCUUUGUUGCCAGCGGUCCGGCCGGGAACUCAAAGGAGACUGCCAGUGAUAAACUGGAGGAAGGUGGGGAUGACGUCAAGUCAUCAUGGCCCUUACGACCAGGGCUACACACGUGCUACAAUGGCGCAUACAAAGAGAAGCGACCUCGCGAGAGCAAGCGGACCUCAUAAAGUGCGUCGUAGUCCGGAUUGGAGUCUGCAACUCGACUCCAUGAAGUCGGAAUCGCUAGUAAUCGUGGAUCAGAAUGCCACGGUGAAUACGUUCCCGGGCCUUGUACACACCGCCCGUCACACCAUGGGAGUGGGUUGCAAAAGAAGUAGGUAGCUUAACCUUCG